rnacentral:rRNA from 1 species
AGAGUUUGAUCCUGGCUCAGGAUGAACGCUGGCGGCGUGCUUAACACAUGCAAGUCGAACGGAGUAUUAACUUUGAAUUCUAACGGAUGAAGAGUUGAUACUUAGUGGCGGACGGGUGAGUAACGCGUGGAUAACCUGCCCCAUACCGGGGGAUAACAGCCGGAAACGGCUGCUAAUACCGCAUAAGCGCACGGGAAUGCAUGUUUCUGUGUGAAAAACUCCGGUGGUAUGGGAUGGAUCCGCGUCUGAUUAGCUGGUUGGCGGGGUAGAGGCCCACCAAGGCGACGAUCAGUAGCCGACCUGAGAGGGUGGCCGGCCACAUUGGGACUGAGACACGGCCCAGACUCCUACGGGAGGCAGCAGUGGGGAAUAUUGCACAAUGGGGGAAACCCUGAUGCAGCGACGCCGCGUGAGUGAAGAAGUAUUUCGGUAUGUAAAGCUCUAUCAGCAGGGAAGAGAAUGACGGUACCUGAGUAAGAAGCCCCGGCUAACUACGUGCCAGCAGCCGCGGUAAUACGUAGGGGGCAAGCGUUAUCCGGAUUUACUGGGUGUAAAGGGAGCGUAGACGGCGAAGAAAGUCUGAAGUGAAAGCCCGCGGCUCAACCGCGGAACUGCUUUGGAAACUUUUUUGCUGGAGUACCGGAGAGGUAAGCGGAAUUCCUAGUGUAGCGGUGAAAUGCGUAGAUAUUAGGAGGAACACCAGUGGCGAAGGCGGCUUACUGGACGGUAACUGACGUUGAGGCUCGAAAGCGUGGGGAGCAAACAGGAUUAGAUACCCUGGUAGUCCACGCGGUAAACGAUGAAUGCUAGGUGUUGGUGGGACAAAAGUCCAUAGGGGGCCGUCGCAAACGCGGUAAGCAUUCCACCGGGGGAGUACGUUUGGCAAGAAGGAAACUCCAAGGAAUUGACGGGGACCCGCACAAGCGGUGGAGCAUGUGGUUAAAUUCGAAGCAACGCGAAGAAACCUUACCAAGUCUUGACAUCCCAUUGAAUAUCAGGUAAAGCUGGUAGACCUUCGGGACAAUGGAGACAGGUGGUGCAUGGUUGUCGUCAGCUCGUGUCGUGAGAUGUUGGGUUAAGUCCCGCAACGAGCGCAACCCUUAUGCCUAGUAGCCAGCAGGUAAAGCUGGGGACUCUAGGGAGACUGCCAGGGAGAACCUGGAGGAAGGCGGGGAUGACGUCAAAUCAUCAUGCCCCUUAUGAUUUGGGCUACACACGUGCUACAAUGGCGUAAACAAAGGGAGGCGAAGCAGUGAUGUGGAGCGAAUCCCAAAAAUAACGUCCCAGUUCGGAUUGCAGUCUGCAACUCGAGUGCAUGAAGCUGGAAUCGCUAGUAAUCGCGAAUCAGAAUGUCGCGGUGAAUAAGUUCCCGGGUCUUGUACACACCGCCCGUCA